rnacentral:rRNA from 1 species
AACGAACGCUGGCGGCAUGCCUAACACAUGCAAGUCGAACGAGACCUUCGGGUCUAGUGGCGCACGGGUGCGUAACGCGUGGGAACCUGCCCUUAGGUUCGGAAUACCUCCCCGACAGGGGUGCUAAUACCGGAUAAUGUCUUCGGCCCAAAGAUUUAUCGCCUUUGGAUGGACCCGCGUUGGAUUAGCUAGUUGGUAGGGUAAAAGCCUACCAAGGCGACGAUCCAUAGCUGGUCUGAGAGGAUGAUCAGCCACACUGGGACUGGGACACGGCCCAGACUCCUACGGGAUGCAGCAGUGGGGAAUAUUGGACAAUGGGCGAAAGCCUGAUCCAGCAAUGCCGCGUGAGUGAUGAAGGCCUUAGGGUUGUAAAGCUCUUUUAACCGGGAUGAUAAUGACGGUACCGGGAGAAUAAGCUCCGGCUAACUCCGUG